rnacentral:rRNA from 1 species
AUUAAUUCGAUGCAACGCGUAGAACCUUACCUGGGUUUGACAUGGAUCGGGAGUGCUCAGAGAUGGGUGUGCCUCUUUUGGGGUCGGUUCACAGGUGGUGCAUGGCUGUCGUCAGCUCGUGUCGUGGGAUGUUGGGUUAAGUCCCGCAACGAGCGCAACCCUUGUUCACUGUUGCCAGCACGUUAUGGUGGGGACUCAGUGGAGACCGCCGGGGUCAACUCGGAGGAAGGUGGGGAUGACGUCAAGUCAUCAUGCCCCUUAUGUCCAGGGCUUCACGCAUGCUACAAUGGCUGGUACAGAGAGUGGCGAGCCUGUGAGGGUGAGCGAAUCUCGGAAAGCCGGUCUCAGUUCGGAUUGGGGUCUGCAACUCGACCUCAUGAAGUCGGAGUCGCUAGUAAUCGCAGAUCAGCAACGCUG